CCUACGGGGGGCAGCAGUGGGGAAUAUUGCACAAUGGGCGCAAGCCUGAUGCAGCCAUGCCGCGUGUGUGAAGAAGGCCUUCGGGUUGUAAAGCACUUUCAGCGGGGAGGAAGGCGGUGAGGUUAAUAACCUCAUCGAUUGACGUUACCCGCAGAAGAAGCACCGGCUAACUCCGUGCCAGCAGCCGCGGUAAUACGGAGGGUGCAAGCGUUAAUCGGAAUUACUGGGCGUAAAGCGCACGCAGGCGGUCUGUCAAGUCGGAUGUGAAAUCCCCGGGCUCAACCUGGGAACUGCAUUCGAAACUGGCAGGCUAGAGUCUUGUAGAGGGGGGUAGAAUUCCAGGUGUAGCGGUGAAAUGCGUAGAGAUCUGGAGGAAUACCGGUGGCGAAGGCGGCCCCCUGGACAAAGACUGACGCUCAGGUGCGAAAGCGUGGGGAGCAAACAGGAUUAGAUCCCGUGUAGUC
rnacentral:rRNA from 1 species